rnacentral:lncRNA from 11 species
AGCUGCGGGAGGGAGGCAGAAGAAAGGAGAUGAGGAAAGAAGGAAGGAAAGAAAGAGGAAAAGAAAGAAAGAAGGGACAAAGGAAGGAAGGAAGGAAGGAAGGAAGGAAGGAAGGAAGGAAGGAAGGAAGGGAGGGAGGAGUCCCUCAAGCCUGCAGGAAGGGCCCCUGCCUCUCACCUGGCCUUCGCCCCAGCCGAGGAGGAGGAGGAGGCAGAGGAGGGGGCUGCUGCUGCUGGUACCGCUUGCUGGCUUGGCUCCCCCGCCUCCCUCCUUCCUUGCCUUGGAGAGGACGGAGAAGCGCACCAUGGACCAGCGGCGCCAUCCCACCUUCGGGGCAGAAGGGAAGGCGAAGGUGGCGGGGAAGCAGGCAUUGUGGCCAGGUGGGGGCAGGCACCGGUCAGGCAGGAGCAGGCAUCACGGCCAGAAGAAAUAAGAAGGCAGAGCCUACGAUACUCUAUCCUAAGUAAACAGUGGGAACUUAAAGAUUACCUGAAGAAGCAGCGAAACUGGCCUUAUACCCGGGAAACCAGUCGUAAUCACCCCCGGCACUAUAGAUCACCUGACCAUCCCUGGUACCCACCAACGGAUCUAUUUCAUCACCCAGACUUCAAACCCUGGAACAUAUUGGUAAACUACUUCAAUCCAGGAGCAACUCCACGUUGAUAUCAUUUAUAUGAAGAACUUACACAUGCUUUUAUUCCAUUGACUCUAUUCAACACUUCAGCAGCGCUUGAGAACAUUAUCAAGACAUCAGUAAUACUUUGUUUGGUAUUCACUCAUUCUAUUUGUUAGAACUGGAGUUAAAACUAGAAACUGUAACAGUUUCACUGGAAUACUUACCUGAAGUGUUGCCAAAUUAUACAUCUUUAUGUUAGGAGCUAUAUAAAUCCAUUUGGAUAACAAUAUAUCUAUAUGAUACUAGAAUAUAUGUUGUUUUUUAACAAUUACUGCAAAUAGAUUACUAUUAUUUGUUGGUUAUACGACAGGAACGGGGCUAUGGUCUAACACCGACUUUAUUUAAAUCCAGUUCAGACCUAAGUAGGUGCGACACCACAAUUCCUUUACUAUACAGUUUGGAAAAUAUUUGUUGUUACAUUUUGUAUAUAUUUAAGACUAUAUGACAAUAGGAAUAUAGAACAUAUAUAUCAUUUACUUUAAACCAUAUUAUAUACCAUACUUUUCCUUUUUUGCAUUCUACUGAGAGUUGAAUCUGUGAGGUAGGCAAAGAUGAGUGGCAGUAUCUCCACAAUUUAUCUGGUAGGUUUCCUAUUAUUAUCAUUAUUAGUAUUAUAUCAAUGGCUGGAUGGGCAUCUGUUAGGAGUGCUUUGAAUGUGUUUUUCCUGUCUGGCAGAAGGGGAUUUGACUGGGUGUUCUGGUGAAAUAGUACUGUUAAAUUUAUGUUGGUUAAAAUUCCCUAAAACUCAGUGGAUGUAAAAAUCUGUCUGAAACUUGGGGAGGGGGGGAUGAUGCCCUGGUUAUGUUGUAUCACUGAAAAUAGAAAUUCAUGGAUAUAGCUUUUACAGUUUUUUUAAUGUUCAUAGAUUUUUUUUAAAAAAAAAAUCCCCAAAAUCAGUGGAUAUGUGAAAUGUUUUGAUAGCUCUAAAAAUGAGGAAGAAGCACCCUCAAAAGUUUCCCCACUUGCACACUUACAUUUCAUUAUAUUAUUAUAGUUACGAUAUGGACCCCUUAUGAUAUUUUAGAAACACUUUAGAAACAAGUCCCCACUCCCCAAUUUAGUAACAUUUUUUCAUUGAUCGCACAAGCCUAGUAUUUUAGCAUUAUACCUUGGUGAUAUUUUGCAAUAUGUGGAAACCUAUUUAAGAUAACAUCAAAUUUCUCUCCCUUAUCUGCUUGAUAUUAACACAGGUUUCAGAGGAUCACAAUCUCUAGUGUCAAGCACUUUUUAAUAAAAUAUUGGUUUUUUCUACAGUGUGGCUCCCGUAUUUGAACACUCAAUAUCUAUGGUUUUACAUGGGGAUACAGACUGCAUAAUUCUUCACAUGUGGAAACUUGAGGGCAUCUAGUAGGCCACAAAAGUGGAACAGGAGGAGGCCCUUAUAUAGGUGGCAGAGGUGGGGAUAAUGGAAAGCCUUCACUCUUAGUAAUAAUGGUGGGAUUUGUGG